rnacentral:lncRNA from 1 species
UAAAAUUACUACUCUACCCACUAUCUAAGGGUAAUAUCUUGGCAGUCCCUCUUAAUGGGUCUUGGCUAGUCCAGCCCACUAAGAGGACCUUUGGCCCAGAGCUGGGGGCUAUAAAUACUCUCCCUCAUGGGAGAGCAAGGGGAACACGAUUCAUUAUUACAAUUACUCUCUCUCUCUCUCUCUAACUUCUCUUUAGUAUCUCUCUUGCUCUCUNNNNNNNNNNNNNGCAUCGGAGCACCUGCAGGUACAACCCCCCCCUCCGUGGACCAUCUGCUCGGACCUGCUGCCUACCACCUGCUCAACGGACUUCCAGCUGGCCUUCUACCUGUUCUGAUCAACAGUUAAGAUCA